GCUGUCAAUCAAGCAGGCGCGGUGAACGGAUUAUGACGCUCAAGCGUUCCAAAUGACGCAACAAUACAGCUCCAGAACAGAGAAAGUUAAUGCGGAAGUUAUUAUUCGGUUCAACACUAAGACUGAGGUUUGACACGUGUGAUUUGAGGCUAGAGCUUGAGGACUCAACUCUGAAGACUGUUUCUGAAUUCACUGACCUGAAAUAAAACUUGUAGACCUUUCCUGCAGUCUCUGAGGAGAUGGACACCUCUUCUUCUUCUGGACGAUCUCCGUCUCCUACUGGGACUGUCUUCUUACCCCCUCCUAUC